UACGAAGGGGGCUAGCGUUGCUCGGAAUCACUGGGCGUAAAGCGCACGUAGGCGGCUUCUUAAGUCAGGGGUGAAAUCCUGGAGCUCAACUCCAGAACUGCCUUUGAUACUGAGAAGCUUGAGUCCGGGAGAGGCGAGUGGAACUGCGAGUGUAGAGGUGAAAUUCGUAGAUAUUCGCAAGAACACCAGUGGCGAAGGCGGCUCACUGGCCCGGUACUGACGCUGAGGUGCGAAAGCGUGGGGAGCAAACAGG
rnacentral:rRNA from 1 species